AAACUACGAAAGGAAUUGACGGGACCCGCACAAGCAGCGGAGCGUGUGGUUUAAUUCGAUGCUACACGAAGAACCUUACCAGGGUUUGACAUGCAAGUGGUAGGAAACUGAAAGGGACCGACCUUCGGGGAGCUUUGCACAGGUGCUGCAUGGCUGUCGUCAGCUCGUGUCGUGAGAUGUUCGGUUAAGUCCGCUAACGAGCGCAACCCUCACUGUGUGUUAUAUGUGUCACACGGGACUGCCGGUUUUAAGCCGGAGGAAGGUGGGAUGACGUCAAGUCAGCAUGGCCUUUAUAUCCUGGGCUACACACACGCUACAAUGGUCGGUACAAUAGGUUGCCAAGCCGCGAGGCGGAGCCAAUCCAAAAAAGCCGGCCUCAGUUCAGAUUGUAGGCUGCAACUCGCCUGCAUGAAGAUGGAGUUGCUAGUAACCGCAGGUCAGCAAUACUGCGGUGAAUACGUUCCCGGGUCUU
rnacentral:rRNA from 1 species